rnacentral:rRNA from 1 species
CGAGUGAGCGGCAAAGCUCAAAUUUGAAAUCUAGCACCUUCGGUGUUUGAGUUGUAAUUUGAAGAUGGUAACCUUGGGUUUGGCUCUUGUCUAUGUUCCUUGGAACAGGACGUCAUAGAGGGUGAGAAUCCCGUCUGAUGAGAUGCCCAUUCCUAUGUAAGGUGCUAUCGAAGAGUCGAGUUGUUUGGGAAUGCAGCUCUAAGUGGGUGGUAAAUUCCAUCUAAAGCUAAAUAUUGGCGAGAGACCGAUAGCGAACAAGUACAGUGAUGGAAAGAUGAAAAGAACUUUGAAAAGAGAGUGAAAAAGUACGUGAAAUUGUUGAAAGGGAAGGGCAUUAGAUCAGACUUGGUGUUUUACGAUUAUCUUCUCUUCUUGAGUUGUGCACUCGUAUUUCACUGGGCCAGCAUCGAUUCGGAUGGCAAGAUAAUGGCAGUUGAAUGUGGCUUCACUUCGGUGGAGUGUUAUAGCUUCUGCUGAUAUUGCCUGUCUGGAUCGAGGGCUGCGUCUUUUGACUAGGAUGCUGGCGUAAUGAUCUAAUGCCGCCCGUC